AACGCUGGCGGCAUGCUUAACACAUGCAAGUUGAACGAGCUUAAUUUAUUAAGCUAAGUAGCGGACGGGUGAGUAGCGCGUAAGAACCUACCUUUAGGGAGAGGAAUAACUAUUGGAAACGAUAGCUAAUACCUCAUAAACUGUGGAGUAAAAGGUGAAAGCCGCCUAAAGAUGGGCUUGCGUCUGAUUAGCUUGUUGGUCAAUUUAAAAAGGUUACCAAGGGCAACGAUCAGUACGUUGGUCUAAGAGGAUGAUCAACCACACUGGGACUGAGACACGGCCCAGACCUCUACGGAGGGCAGACCAGUGAGGAAUUUUCCGCAAUGGGCGAAAGCCUGACGGAGCAAUGCCGCGUGGAGGAUGAAGGCUUAGUGAGUCGUAAACUCCUUUUCUUAGCGAAGAAACAAGACGGUAACUAAGGAAUAAGCAUCGGCUAACUCCGUGCCAGCAGCCGCGGUAAUACGGAGGAUGCAAGCGUUAUUCGGAAUAAAUUCGGGCGUAACAGCGUCUGUAGGUUCGCUUUCUAAGUCUACUGUUAAGGC
rnacentral:rRNA from 2 species